rnacentral:lncRNA from 1 species
CCCUCCUUCCUGCCCCCCCCCUUCCCUCCCAUUUGUUCGCAUUGCUGCCAGGGCUGCGUGUCACAGCGUGCGCAGCGUGUCACGUGUGCGGUGUGUCAUGUGUGUGCCGUGUGUGCCAUGUGCUGCAUGUCACAGCAUGUGCUGCGUGUCACGUGUGUGCUGUGUGUCAUGUGUGUGCUGCAUGUCACAGUGCGUGCGCCGUGUCACGUGUGUGCAGCGUGUCACGUGUGCUGUGUGUGCCGUGUGCUGCAUGUCACGGUGUGUACCGCAUGUGCCGUGCCUCAUCACUGUGUGCUGCGUGUCACGUGUGUGCUGCGUGUGCCAUGCGCUGUGUCACAGCGUGUGCUGCGUGUGCCGUGUGCUGCAUGUCACAGCGUGUGCUGCGUGUGCCAUGUGCUGCAUGUCACAGCGUGUGCUGCGUGUGCCGUGCACCGUGUGCUGCGUGCCACAACACCCGCGUGCCGUGUGUUGCGUGCUGUGUGCUGUGUGCUGCACGCCAUGCAUUGCGUGCCGCGUGCCGUGCACCGUGUGCGCCGUGCUGUGCCGCGUGCUGUGUGUCACACGCAGAUCCGUGCGCCGUUCCGUGUGCUGUUCUGUGUGCCGUGCGCCGUUCCAUGCGUGCUCUUCUGUGUGCUGCUCCAUGCACCAGUCCCUGUGCACCAGUCCAUGCACCAUUCCAUGCACUGUUCCAUGUGCACCAUUCCAUGUGCACCAUUCAGUGUGCACCAUUCCAUGCACCAUUCCAUGUGCACCAUUCCAUGUGCACCGUUCCAUGUGCACCAUUUCAUGUGCACCGUUCCGUGUGCACCGUUCCACGUGCACCGUUCCAUGCCAUUCCGUGUGCACGGUUCCGUGCACGGUUCCGUGUUGCACCCCUUGACCUCUCUCCUCUCUCCCCUCCACAGCACUGGUGCAAAAAGGUGGGUGUGA